rnacentral:rRNA from 1 species
UUGGUUAAGUUAGAAAGGGCGCACGGUGGAUGCCUUGGCACUAGGAGCCGAAGAAGGACGGGACUAACACCGAUAUGCUUUGGGGAGCUGUACGUAAGCGUUGAUCCAGAGAUUUCCGAAUGGGGGAACCCACUAUCUUUAGUCGGAUAGUAUCCUUACGUGAAUACAUAGCGUGAGGAAGGCAGACCCAGGGAACUGAAACAUCUAAGUACCUGGAGGAAGAGAAAGAAAAAUCGAUUUCCUGAGUAGCGGCGAGCGAAACGGAAAGAGCCCAAACCAAGAAGCUUGCUUCUUGGGGUUGUAGGACACUCUAUACGGAGUUACAAAAGAAAGUUAUAAAUGAAGCGGUCUGGAAAGGCCCGCCAAAGACGGUAACAGCCCGGUAGUUGAAAUAGCUUUCCCUCCAGAGUGGAUCCUGAGUACGGCGGAACACGUGAAAUUCCGUCGGAAUCCGGGAGGACCAUCUCCCAAGGCUAAAUACUCCCUAGUGACCGAUAGUGAACCAGUACCGUGAGGGAAAGGUGAAAAGCACCCCGGAAGGGGAGUGAAACAGUUCCUGAAACCGUGUGCCUACAAGUAGUUAGAGCCCGUUAAUGGGUGAUAGCGUGCCUUUUGUAGAAUGAACCGGCGAGUUACGAUUUGUUGCAAGGUUAAGCGGAAAAAGCGGAGCCGUAGCGAAAGCGAGUCUGAAUAGGGCGCAUAAGUAACAGGUCGUAGACCCGAAACCAGGUGAUCUACCCAUGUCCAGGAUGAAGGUAAGGUAAUACUUACUGGAGGUCCGAACCCACGCACGUUGAAAAGUGCGGGGAUGAGGUGUGGGUAGCGGAGAAAUUCCAAUCGAACUUGGAGAUAGCUGGUUCUCUCCGAAAUAGCUUUAGGGCUAGCCUCGAGGUAAAGAGUCAUGGAGGUAGAGCACUGUUUGGACUAGGGGCCCUUCUCGGGUUACCGAAUUCAGAUAAACUCCGAAUGCCAUGUACUUAUACUCGGGAGUCAGACUGCGAGUGAUAAGAUCCGUAGUCGAAAGGGAAACAGCCCAGACCACCAGUUAAGGUCCCCAAAUAUAUGUUAAGUGGAAAAGGAUGUGGGGUUGCUUAGACAACCAGGAUGUUGGCUUAGAAGCAGCCACCAUUGAAAGAGUGCGUAAUAGCUCACUGGUCGAGUGACCCCGCGCCGAAAAUGUACCGGGGCUAAACAUAUUACCGAAACUGUGGAUGAACCUCUUUAGAGGUUCGUGGUAGGAGAGCGUUCUAAGGGCGGUGAAGUCAGACCGGAAGGACUGGUGGAGCGCUUAGAAGUGAGAAUGCCGGUAUGAGUAGCGAAAGAAGGGUGAGAAUCCCUUCCACCGAAUAUCUAAGGUUUCCUGAGGAAGGCUCGUCCGCUCAGGGUUAGUCGGGACCUAAGC